rfam:Clostridium magnum DSM 2767 CLMAG_contig000008, whole genome shotgun sequence.
UCCAUCGUGAGGUGCAAUCUGAAGGAAGCCUGCAGCAAAAGUCUGGUCUGACGAACAGAAAUCACAUAUAAGGCUUACUUAAAUCGGGUGAGCAUGCACAACAAAGUUCAUCGAAAGCAAACUCAAACUUAAAGUAAACAAGGAUAAAAGUGCAGUUGAUAGACCUUGGAGAAGGAAAUUUCU